GUUCCCAAGACCUUCCUUGGGGAAGCAGGUGGCAGGCUUUGAUGCCCGCACAGUGACCGGGCGAGAGUCUGGGAGUACAGGCAUUGCUGCCUAAAACAUGAUCUUGUUUUUUUCUUUUUUCUCUUUUUUUUUUCUUUUUUGGUAUCCAGAUACCAUCACAAACGCUAGCCUGAUCGAUCGGAGAUUUAGGCGCCGAAUGAUGGAGGAAAUCAACAUUUGCUCUGGAUAAAAUUGUUCUUGGCUGUAUUCAUUCCAGCCCUAAUGAUGAUCUAAAGCAGAAGGUUUUCAAACAAGGAUAUUUCUUCUGGAUUUCCUGUAUUUUAAAGGAUCAUAGGAGUCUUGGUUUGGGUCACAUAAAAUCGAUUAGCAUUCUAAUUUACAGUCAUUACAAAUACCACCCUAACCUCUGUAACUUCAAGAGUGCAUACAUUUGGGGGCUGUAGAGAUAGCACAGUGGGUAGGGCAUUUGCCUUGUACUUGGCUAACCUGGAUUUGAUUCCCAGCAUCCCAUAUGGUCCCCCAAGCACCCCCAGGAGUAAUUCCUGAGUGCAUGAACCAGGAGUAACCCCUGUACAUUGCCAGGUGUGACCCAAAAAGCAAAAAAAAAAAAAAGUCUCCCAACAGAGAAUUUUUCUCCCUCUCAAGUUUUCUCUUUUGAAACAUACCAUCUUAAAACAAUAUGCAAGAUACAUUGUCUUCAAGAAAUUGCAAAUCCAUUUACUUGUAAAUGUUUUCAAUUAAUUUAAGCUUAAGUCAAAUAUAUAACAAAAAUGAAUUGUAUUAAGGUAAAUAAAUUAUCAAUGGUUCCUAGCAUGUAAAAAUGAGAUGCAUGCAUAUUUAUCAUCUAUAAUAGCCUUAUUCUAAUGUUUAAAUUUAUUCAUUUAACCUGCUUGUUACAGGUGUAUUUUGGUUUUAGCUCUUUCUGUUUUAAAAUAUCUAAAUUUUCUUGAGUACGUGAGUGCACAAGUAACUUUAUUUCUGAUUCCAGGAGAUCAACAAGUGCUAAAUAAAAUGAACCAGUAUAUUCAAUUCUUAAAAAAGAAUAUGUUGGAAACUGAAAGCUCUUUCAUUCUAACUCACUCAGUAUGCCAUAAAAUGGAAAAACAAAUAACUAAGGUGAUUGGUGAAAUCAUAAAUCAACUGAUAAAACAAAGAACUUUUAAUGUAGUUUUGCAAAUUUGAUAUUCACUGUCACUGUCAUCAAUGUCAUCCCAUUGCUCAUCGAUUUGCUAGAGUGGGCACCAGUAACGUCUCCAUUUUGACACAUGUUACUAUUUUUGGAGUAUCGAAUACACCAGAGCUUGCCAUGCUCUGCCAUUCAGGCGAGAUACUCUUGGUAGCUUGCCGGGCUCUCUGAGAGGGGCAGAGGGUCAGCCUCGUGCAAGGCGAAUGCCCUACCGCUGUGCUAUUUGAGUGAUAUUAUUCACUCAAAAAUUAAUUAAAUGAUUGUCCUAAACACUGAAAUAGGAAUUGCUUGACAUUGAGAAAGAAAAUACAUGAAAGAAAGAGAAAGUAAUUCAAAGAAAUAAAUUGUGACUUACUUGUAGUUGAUUUCACUGAUGGUUAUUACUCUAUUCUGUAGAAAGUCUUUUAUCUCUAUCAGAUUUUAUCACCCUCAUCCUGUUUCUGCUUUCGUAUGAUUGUGCACAGUUUCAUUAUGUAAUUGUACUUCCUCGGGAGAGAUUUUUUUAGUGUUCUUUUUGUACAUAUAUUGGGUUAAUAUUUGGUCUA